rnacentral:rRNA from 2 species
GCAAGUCGAACGAACUCUGGUAUUGAUUGGUGCUUGCAUCAUGAUUUACAUUUGAGUGAGUGGCGAACUGGUGAGUAACACGUGGGAAACCUGCCCAGAAGCGGGGGAUAACACCUGGAAACAGAUGCUAAUACCGCAUAACAACUUGGACCGCAUGGUCCGAGCUUGAAAGAUGGCUUCGGCUAUCACUUUUGGAUGGUCCCGCGGCGUAUUAGCUAGAUGGUGGGGUAACGGCUCACCAUGGCAAUGAUACGUAGCCGACCUGAGAGGGUAAUCGGCCACAUUGGGACUGAGACACGGCCCAAACUCCUACGGGAGGCAGCAGUAGGGAAUCUUCCACAAUGGACGAAAGUCUGAUGGAGCAACGCCGCGUGAGUGAAGAAGGGUUUCGGCUCGUAAAACUCUGUUGUUAAAGAAGAACAUAUCUGAGAGUAACUGUUCAGGUAUUGACGGUAUUUAACCAGAAAGCCACGGCUAACUACGUGCCAGCAGCCGCGGUAAUACGUAGGUGGCAAGCGUUGUCCGGAUUUAUUGGGCGUAAAGCGAGCGCAGGCGGUUUUUUAAGUCUGAUGUGAAAGCCUUCGGCUCAACCGAAGAAGUGCAUCGGAAACUGGGAAACUUGAGUGCAGAAGAGGACAGUGGAACUCCAUGUGUAGCGGUGAAAUGCGUAGAUAUAUGGAAGAACACCAGUGGCGAAGGCGGCUGUCUGGUCUGUAACUGACGCUGAGGCUCGAAAGUAUGGGUAGCAAACAGGAUUAGAUACCCUGGUAGUCCAUACCGUAAACGAUGAAUGCUAAGUGUUGGAGGGUUUCCGCCCUUCAGUGCUGCAGCUAACGCAUUAAGCAUUCCGCCUGGGGAGUACGGCCGCAAGGCUGAAACUCAAAGGAAUUGACGGGGGCCCGCACAAGCGGUGGAGCAUGUGGUUUAAUUCGAAGCUACGCGAAGAACCUUACCAGGUCUUGACAUACUAUGCAAAUCUAAGAGAUUAGACGUUCCCUUCGGGGACAUGGAUACAGGUGGUGCAUGGUUGUCGUCAGCUCGUGUCGUGAGAUGUUGGGUUAAGUCCCGCAACGAGCGCAACCCUUAUUAUCAGUUGCCAGCAUUAAGUUGGGCACUCUGGUGAGACUGCCGGUGACAAACCGGAGGAAGGUGGGGAUGACGUCAAAUCAUCAUGCCCCUUAUGACCUGGGCUACACACGUGCUACAAUGGAUGGUACAACGAGUUGCGAACUCGCGAGAGUAAGCUAAUCUCUUAAAGCCAUUCUCAGUUCGGAUUGUAGGCUGCAACUCGCCUACAUGAAGUCGGAAUCGCUAGUAAUCGCGGAUCAGCAUGCCGCGGUGAAUACGUUCCCGGGCCUUGUACACACCGCCCGUCACACCAUGAGAGUUUGUAACACCCAAAGUCGGUGGGGUAACCUUUUAGGAACCA